CAAUAGCGUAUAUUAAAGUUGUUGCGGUUAAAAAGCUCGUAGUUGGAUUUCUGCUGAGAACGACCGGUCCGCCCUUUGGGUGUGUAUCUGGCUCUUUCUUGGCAUCUUCUUGGUGAACGUUGCUGCACUUGACUGUGUGGAGCGCUACCCAGGACUUUUACUUUGAGGAAAUUAGAGUGUUUCAAGCAGGCAUACGCCUUGAAUACAUUAGCAUGGAAUAAUAAGAUAGGACCUCGGUUCUAUUUUGUUGGUUUCUAGAGCUGAGGUAAUGAUUAAUAGGGAUAGUUGGGGGCAUUCGUAUUCCGUUGUCAGAGGUGAAAUUCUUGGAUUUACGGAAGACGAACAUCUGCGAAAGCAUUUGCCAAGGAUGUUUUCAUUG
rnacentral:rRNA from 1 species